rnacentral:misc_RNA from 1 species
GCAGUAGCAGUAGCAGCAGCAGCGGAAGCAGUGGUGUCCCCUGGCAGCGCGCUUCCCUCCGCAGUGUGGUGGCUGUCGUGGUUGCCGAUCGGCGGCUGACUGAACGGCGAAAGGCGGACGACGAGCGGACCUCGUUACUAUGGGCAAGAAGCAGCCCGCGGUUCAGGAGAGACAGAGGAAACGACGGAAUAGCCAACACAUGUAGCAUUCGGGCAUCGGUAUAAUGAAGCCGUCCAUGAAAAUGGGAGUGAUCGCCUUGAUAGGGAUCUGCGUAGUCUUUUAUCAGUAUCAUCUGUCCACCGGCGUUACUUUCGAUCAAGCAAUAACGGCUUUCAAUGCCGAUACCGCCGCGGAAGACGCCGGGGAUUUGCCGAUUGGUGAGGAGGGUGACAGCAAAACCCCAAGGCUCACCGAGGAAAUGAUUCGAUACGCCGUAUACCGAGUACAAAUCACGAACGGCCUGAGUCCGGAAAUAAGCUCGAUGCUCGUGCAGGAACUUAUCAAUCAGUUAAGCAAAAACGUCUCGGCGGCCUCCAGAAAUAAUUUCAAGUCCCCGUCGCAAUCGCAACCCCCGGCGACGGCGAUACACAAGGCGGUAACGCCGCCGCCGUCCCGUUCGCCAACGCCCCCCUCCGAGGAAUCGUCCGAGGAACCCCUGUACAUCAUCACACCUACAUAUCGAAGACCCGAACAGAUCCCCGAACUCACGAGGAUGGCCCAUACCUUGAUGUUAGUCAAAAAUAUACAUUGGCUCGUCAUCGAGGAUGCUGCCGUCGCUACCAAGCAAGUUACCAAGUUAUUGGAAAGGACAGGCAUAAAGUUCGAUCAUUUAAUCGCUCCGAUGCCGGAGAAGUACAAGCUCAAGAAGGGCGCGAAGCCACGAGGGGUAUCGAAUAGGAAUCGCGGCUUGCAGUGGAUCAGGGCGAACGCCACGAGGGGCGUGUUCUACUUCGCCGACGACGACAAUACUUACGAUAUUGAACUUUUCGACGAAAUUCGUAAGACGAAAACGGUGUCGAUGUUCCCGGUGGGGCUGUGCACCAAGUUCGGGCUGAGCUCGCCGAUCCUGAAGAACGGCAAGUUUGCCGGGUUCUACGACGGUUGGGUAGCCGGUCGGAAGUUUCCUGUGGACAUGGCCGGGUUUGCCGUGAGCGUCAAGUUCCUGCAUCAGCGGCCGAACGCCACCAUGCCGUUUCGUGCGGGAUACGAGGAGGACGGCUUCCUGAAGAGCCUGACGCCGUUCGAACCGCGGGACGCCCAGCUGCUGGCGGACAAUUGCACCAAAGUACUCGCCUGGCACACGCAGACGAAGAAGAACGAGCCGAGCGCGCCGCUGGACAUGAAGCUUUACGGCGCGACGAACCUGGUGAAGCUCAAGCAGCAGAUAGUAUGAUGCCGGCCGGGACGACGGAGAUAAUGCGGACUCGCGAACCUGAAUCUUGUGUGUAAUCCCGCCUCUCCUUCGCACUAGUUCAUCGGUGUCACUCCAGGGGAAUACCUAGCUUUUACACAUCCGCAACAAGUAGCUCGCCCUGAAGACGGUCCGCCCCCCUUCACUCCGAGGAUACCGCGGAGAAGAAAAAAAGAAUAAAGUAGAAUUUCCGGGGCAGAGGCGCUACGACCGCAGCGACUCGGUAUGGUGAAGUGAUAGAAAUUCACGCGUGGAGCUCGAAACCGUCAGUACCUUUUACUUCUUGGCAUUUAAGUUUUCGCGCGCGCCUGAGGCGACGUGAACGCGAAAGGGAAGUUGAAUCUUCUCCUUAGUAAUAAUCGUAAUGAAUAUAGCGAUCGUGGUGAUGUCCGUUAAAAUCGUUUCGCGGUUUCGAAGUAUCUUUAACGCGUACAAAACGGCGAAGUCGCGUGCAGCGUGCAGAUCAACGACCAAAGAAAGCAAACGAGUCACUCGCUGUAACGUUAAGCUCUUACACUUACUUUAUUCCAUCCGAGGGAUACGUUCCGAGUUUUCGAAAUAGAUUAUCUAUUAUAUUCCAUUCUAUUCCACAUAGCGAAAAGUCCAUUCCUAAACUUGCUCUAGUUUAAACACGACGCGAAGUCAAAGAUAAUUCGAUCGAGAAGUGAGCACUUUUUCUAGACGAUUAUACGCUUCUCGAAUUUCACGCUGAUCGAUAUUUCGACUUAACCGCUAAACCGGUAAACUUGACCGCUCGUUUAAACCGCUCGUUAAUCUAAUUACCAAGUAUAAUGUUUGACGAUUGUCGUUUAAAUCCUGCCCCGUCUCUUUAUGCAAUUAGCAAGCAUACAUGAGUAUGAGAUAGAGUUCGAGCAUGUCCCUUAAUACGAAUUCCUCGUAUAUAGUUCCGAAAGAUUAGAAAAAAAAAAAAAAAAUUAAAUAAAUGUGUAAAAGCCGAAACACGAACAAAUCGAAGUUCAGGCUUAAACUUAUUGACAAUUAAAGAAAUUAUCAUUUACGAGGAUUUCUGAUUAAGAUACGAAAUUUUUUCGAUAGAUCUUUGACUUAUUUAGCAUUCAGCAUAAAUUAAAAAAAAAGAUGCCGAACAUGCAGAAUGCGCGUAGCUAUCAAAAGUUCGAAUGAAUUUUUCAGAUUUUUAAAUCUAAAAAAUUGAUUUUAAAAUUGAAUAUAUCAAGGAAUGAUUAUACGCGGUUAUGCGAGUAGCAUUUAAAAUGAGCAUCCUCGCCUGCAUUUAACUGAAUAGAGAUAUUUUUAAUUCUCAAGUCGCGUUCGUCGCUGCUCUUUCAUUUCCGUUAAUGAUUCAGUCAUUUCGUCAUUUUGUUGUAACGCUGAUUACAAGAUUAUAAGUAAAAUAGCCAAUUAUAAUCAAAUAGACGUGUGUUUCCGUUACCAAUGUAUUUGCGUGCGUGUGAGUGCGUGUGCGUAGAAAAUAUGUACUUCCUAGAAAGGCAUAAUAUUUAAAAGCUACAUUUGAUUCUUCUUGCACAACAUAGUUUGCGCGAGUCGGAUUUGAAAAGAUCCGAUAUCUUUUAGAUAGGGAAAGGUUGAAAAGGAAAAUUAAAAAAUAAGAAAAGUGUGCAUCGAGUGCGAAAUCCAAAGAAUCCGUUUCGAUUGUCUGAACGAUCGGAGCAUUUAAUAAUACGAUGUACAGUAGAAUCUUGAUAAUUCCAAACGAUUCUAUUAUUACAUAUCGUUAUAAAAAUUCGACCAACAUGGAAUUAAAUAUACAACGUUAUCUAAUUUCCUAUAGCU